CCUACGGGUGGCUGCAGUGAGGAAUAUUGGUCAAUGGCUGAGAGGCUGAACCAGCCAAGUCGCGUGAGGGAAGACGGCCCUAUGGGUUGUAAACCUCUUUUGUCGGGGAGCAAAGCGAACCACGUGUGGUGCUUUGAGAGUACCCGAAGACAAAGCAUCGGCUAACUCCGUGCCAGCAGCCGCGGUAAUACGGAGGAUGCGAGCGUUAUCCGGAUUUCUUGGGUUUAAAGGGUGCGCAGGCGGAGGUGCAAGUCAGCGGUAAAAUUGCGGGGCUCAACCCCUUAGUGCCGUUGAGACUGCAUCUCUUGAGUGAGCGAGAAGUAUGCGGAAUGCGUGGGGUAGCGGUGAAAUGCAUAGAUAUCACGCAGAACUCCGAUUGCGAAGGCAGCAUACCGGCGCUCAACUGACGCUCAUGCACGAAAGCGUGGGUAUCGAACAGGAUUAGAUACCCGUGUAGUC
rnacentral:rRNA from 1 species